ACGGAAGGCAGCAGUGGGGAAUAUUGGGCAAUGGGCGAAAGCCUGACCCAGCAACGCCGCGUGUAGGAAGAAGGUCUUCGGUUUGUAAACUUCUUUUAUGAGGGACGAAGGACGUGACGGUACCUCAUGAAUAAGCCCCGGCUACCUACGUGCCAGCAGCUGCGGUCAUACGUAGGUGGCAAGAGUUAUCCGGAUUUACUGGGUGUAAAGGGCGCGUAGGCGGGGAUGCAAGUCAGAUGUGAAAUCUAUGGGCUUAACUCAUAAACUGCAUUUGAAACUGUAUUUCUUGAGUGCUGGAGAGGUAGAUGGAAUUCCUGGUGUAGCGGUGAAAUGCGUAGAUAUAAGGAAGAACACCAGUGGCGAAGGCGAUCUACUGGACAGUAACUGACGCUGAGGCGCGAAAGCGUGGGGAGCAAACAGGAUUAGAUACCCUGGUA
rnacentral:rRNA from 1 species